AUGUACCGUGGUGGGCUUGACCGCUUCAAGAAAGCUCAAGCCUUGGAGCCGUUCUCGGUGCAGCAGUCUGGUUCCGGCGCAAAGAGCGUGCCCACGGCUGUGAAAGUGCAACCAGCUCCAUUGGUGCCGCCGCAGAGCUCACAUCUUGGUCCCAGCCAGAGUCAGCAUGCUCCGCAGAGUGCUGGCUCAAGCAUGGCCGGGCAAGAAGCUGCUGGGGCUCCCAGACCUGCCGGGACGCAGUUUGGUGGUGGGCAGUCGACGUGGCAACCGCCGGACUGGGCAAUUGAGCCGCGCCCUGGGGUUUACUAUCUUGAGGUGAUGAAGGAUGGGAGUGCCAUUGAUAGGAUCAAUCUGGACAAGAAGAGGCAUAUAUUUGGGAGGCAGGUGCCUGCUUGCGAGAUUGUCUUGGACCAUCAGUCCGUCUCACGCCAACAUGCUGCUGUCGUUCCACACAAAAAUGGAAGCAUCUAUGUUAUCGAUUUAGGAUCUGUCCACGGUACAUUUGUUGCAAACGAGAGAUUAACCAAGGACAACCCUGUUGAACUUGAAGUUGGACAGUCACUUCGCUUUGCUGCAUCAACCAGAGCAUAUGUUCUACGAAAGAACACGGCUGCUUUUUUCCCCACUCAAAGUCUCCCGUCAGAUGUGAGUUUGCCGUCCCCUCCAGACUCUGACGAUGAAGAUGCCGUUGUUGCAUACAAUACAAUACUGAAUCGCUAUGGUGUUAGCAAAUCAGACGUGCCAUUGAAGAGAAAAGGUUCUUCUGGGGAUGCUUCUGCUGUUAAUGAUGACAACCAGGCAGUCGGUAGACCAUCAAAGAGAAUCAGAAAGCGGAGAGUGUCAUUUAGAGAUCAGGUUGGUGGGGAGCUUAUUCAGGUGGUUGGGAUUUCUGAUGGUGCAGAUGUUGAAACUGAACCAGGCCCAGUAGGUGUGAAGGAAGGCAGUCUUGUUGGGAAGUACGAGUCUCUUGUACAGGUCACUGUCAUACCAAAAGGAAAGGAGCAAACUUCAUCAAAGGACAGUGCCUCCAACAGUGGGGUAACAGAUAAGCUACAACAGAUGCUUAACAAAGUUAAAAGCACAUCCAGAGGUGGUAUGUAUGAUGACCUUUACGGGGACUCUGUUCCAGCAAAACCGGGCUCAUCAUGGGCGUAUAAAUCAGAUGGCCAGCCAGAGCAAGUCAAAGUUGUUGAUGAAAAGAAGUCUAGCAGGGAUGUGGACGCAAAUCCGGCUGAUGAUAGUGAUGAUGACUUGUUUGGCGACUAG
rnacentral:rRNA from 1 species